UACGGGGGGAGCAAGCGUUGUUCGGAUUUACUGGGCGUAAAGGGCGCGUAGGCGGCGUAACAAGUCACUUGUGAAAUCUCCGGGCUUAACUCGGAGCGGUCAAGUGAUACUGUUGUGCUAGAGUGCGGAAGGGGCUACUGGAAUUCUCGGUGUAGCGGUGAAAUGCGUAGAUAUCGAGAGGAACACCUGCGGCGAAGGCGGGUAGCUGGGCCGACACUGACGCUGAUGCGCGAAAGCCAGGGGAGCGAACAGG
rnacentral:rRNA from 1 species